rnacentral:lncRNA from 1 species
GAAGCAAGCAGCCAUGCUGGAGAGGCCCACAUGGAAAGGAACUGAGGGAACCCUCCAGCCAUCAGGAAAUGAGGAGCUAAAGCUGGCAGCCUACCAGGAACUGAAUCCCACCAACAACCAUCUAGAGAUGGUCAUGUAAUCCAGUUCUGGUCAAAGACACGCCUGGACUCUGCAGAACCUCUGUUCUUCUUAGUAAAUGAGGAGCCCCUACUUUCUGCCUCGAACACAGCGUCCGAAGACAUGAUGAUCCAAGCUGUGGUAGCCUCUUGACUGUGAGGGGAUAUGUCUGGACUCUUCAAGGAAAUACAUUGAGGACAGCAGAAUAAAGAGAAAGAGAGAGUUUGAUGCUAACUUCAAGUCAUUGGACCAACCUGGGAUUGACUGCCGGCCUGCAGAUAUCUAGUAUAAGAUGUUGGCUGUGUGCCAUGGCCCAUGCCUGUAAUCCCAGCACUUUGGGUUGGGAGACCGAGGCAGGUGGAUCACGAGGUCAAGAGAUCGAGACCAUCCUGGCCAACAAGGUGAAACCCUGUCUCUACUAAAAUACAAAAUAUUAGCCAAGCAUGGUCACGUGGGCCUGUAGUCCCAGCUACUCGGGAAGCUGAGGCAGAGGAAUCGCUUGAACCCAGGAGGCGGAGGUUGCAGUGAGCCGAGAUCACAGCACUGCACUCCAGCCUGGCAACAGAGCAAGACUCUGUUUAAAAAAAAAAGAUGUCUUGAUUGUAUAGGCCUCUGUUAGCUGGUUAAUCCUAUUUGCUUACAGCAGAAUGCAUCCCAAUGAAUACAACAGGUAUACGUGCAAUGAAAGAGAGUUCAGUCCUAGGGAGACUGCAAGGGGGAAAAAGUAGGCUCUGGGGUAAAAUAAUUAAAUAAUUCUUCCUUUCAUGGUGGUCAUGAAAUGGUAGCUAACAUUUAUUUGCUUUGUGUUUUUUUUUUUUUCUUUGUGAAGCACCUGUCUGCUAUUGGUGCUAUAUGUUUUUGAAAAUUCAUUUUUACCUCUCCAAGCCCAUUUCCUCACUGGAUUCAUGGAAAGAUGAAGGAGAGACUGCAUGUGAAAAGGGUGGACAUACUUUCUGUCUGGCUGGCUGCCUGUCUUGUUCACUGCACUUUCCCAGCACUAGAUAAAGUUUUUUUUAUUUUGUUGUUUUAUUUUUAGAGACAGGGUCCCACCAUGUCAUCAAGGUUGGAGUGCAGUGGCACAAUCACAGCUCACUGUAACCUCAAAUUCCUGGGCUUAAGUGAUCCUCUCGCCUCAGCCACCUGUGUGGCUGAGACUACAGGGACACACUACCACUCCAGGCUAUUUUUUAAAAUUUUUUGUCAAGACAAGAUCUCGAUAUGUUACCCCAGCUGGUCUCUAACUCCUGGCUUCAAGCAAUCCCUCCCACCUCAGCCUCUCAAAGCACUGGGAUUACAGGCAUGAGCCAUCCCUAGUUAAAAUUUGGUAAAGAAUAAAGCUCUUUCCCUCCGGCUUAUAAAAUCAGGACUCAGUAGUUAUUGCCAAAUGUGCCCCAUUGGUUAAUUUGGAUCUUUCCCCAUUCCUUGCAUGUCCAUUGGCCAUUCGGGCUUCAUUCCUAGAAUAUAUAUUUUUUGGGGGAGAUGGGGUGGUGGGGAUGGAGUGUUGGUCUGUCACCCAAGCUGGAGUGCAGUGGUGUGAUCUCGGCUGACUGCAACCUCCGCCCCCUGGGUUCAAGCAAUUCUCCUGCCUCAGCCUCCCAAAUAGCUGGGACUACAGGUGCCCACCACCACGCCCGGCUCAUUUUCGUGUUUUUAGAAGAGACGGGGUUUCACCAU